GGAUGAUUAAAUUGAAGGAAGUGUUAUUGCAUGUGAGUUAGAAGUAAAUCCACAUGGCCCUCAUUACUUUGGCUUGAACUUUUAAAUUUUUAAUGUACUUUGUUUAAUCCAGUGAUUUGGCAGUUUUCUUGUUGCUUGGUUCUUUUUUGCAUUCACAGCAGAGCUGUGUGUAAACCACCCGACACACUCCCUAAUGUCCUAGUCCAUAAGUGUAAAAAUUAGAGGCAUAAACUCAUUCAUUUUUAGUUCUGUUUCCUAGCCCAAUGCAGGUGAGGAUUAAACAUGGUUUCUCACUCUGUUUGUUUUUUCCAUAGUGGUGUGUUUGACCUUAGUGUUGAGAAGUUUGGGUAACUAAGAAGAGAGCAUGAGAAGGCAACAUUUUGACCCACAGUUAGCUUCUGGUUUGAGAAUUCUCUUUCCUUUCCCUGCAGAAAAUCACCUCUUUAUGAUAACUGCUUUCUCCAUGCUCCUGAUGGACAGCCUCUCUGCACUUGUGAUAGAAGAAAAGCUCAGUGGUACCUGGACAAAGGCAUUGGCGAGCUGGUGAGUGAAGAGCCCUUUGUGGUGAAGCUACGGUUUGAACCUGCAGGAAGGCCCGAAUCUCCUGGAGACUAUUACUUGAUGGUUAAAGAGAACCUGUGUGUAGUGUGUGGCAAGAGAGACUCCUACAUUCGG
rnacentral:sRNA from 1 species